rnacentral:rRNA from 1 species
AAGUCGUAACAAGGUCUCCGUUGGUGAACCAGCGGAGGGAUCAUUACAGAGUUGUAAAACUCCCAAACCUUUGUGAACAUACCUUUGUUGCCUCGGUGGCCUACCCGGUAGCUACCCUGUAGUUACCCUGUAGUCCGCCGACGGACCACCAAACUCUUGUUUAUAGUGUAUCUCUGAGUACUACUUUUAAUAAGUUAAAACUUUCAACAACGGAUCUCUUGGUUCUGGCAUCGAUGAAGAACGCAGCGAAAUGCGAUAAGUAAUGUGAAUUGCAGAAUUCAGUGAAUCAUCGAAUCUUUGAACGCACAUUGCGCCCAUUAGUAUUCUAGUGGGCAUGCCUGUUCGAGCGUCAUUAAAUCACUUAAGCCUUGCUUAGUGUUGGGAAUCUACUUUCGCGGAAGCUACCCGGGACUUACCCUGUAGCUACCCUGUAGUUCCUUAAAGUGAGCGGCGGAGUUGUGAUAUCCUCUGAGCUUAGUAGUAACAUUCUAGCUUUCGAGAAGUCACUGCGCUUGCCGUAAAACACCCUUCUUUCUGAAUGGUUGACCUCGGAUCAGGUAGGAAUACCCGCUGAACUUAAGCAUAUCAAUAAG